rnacentral:misc_RNA from 1 species
AUGAUUCAUGAAAACAUGCAGACCACGAGUUCUGAGUCGACGUCGUCAAGCAGCUCAGGCUCUUCGUCGUCGAGUUCUUCGAGCUCGGGGAGUGAAUCCAGCUCCUCUGAUUCUGAAAAUUCGAGCAGUUCGGCACGCAGUCAGAAACAAUCGGAUACAGAGAAAAACAAAAAAAAAAUACCCGCCUCCGUCAGCAGGCAUAUCAAAUCGAAGAGCGAUGGUGCAGCAGCAGGCGGGUCUGAGAACAAAGCGAAGGAAAAAGUUCAACCAAAGUCCAAAUCUGUUGUAUAUUCCUCCGAGUCGGAGGAAUUACCUGGCAAAGUAAAACCAGCCAAGAGAAAACCUCCUCCAAAACCAAAAGCCACGGCGACCAUCGCCCCGGUUGUUAAACCUCAAAGGCCGCAAAGUAAAAUUGCACCUUCCGGCGUUGCGCAAAAAAAUGUUGCUACUGCCAAACUCGUUCAUGGAAAAGGGAAUAAAUUUUCUGGAAAUACCAGCAGCGCUGCAAAACUACCAGAAAAACCGGUGAAAGCAGCGGCAGUUGAACCUGUACAAAAGAAGCUUAAGAAAAAAAGUAUUUUCAGUCCAGAGAACAGCAGCGAAAGCGAUUCUGUUUCACCACCUGGUAAAUCUAAUGCUCAGAAAAGUGCAAGUAAUGCGGGCAAAGGAUCCAAACCGGCACCGCAGAGACCUAAACCUGCGGAGCUCAAAGCUCGAGUACCAGCCAAUACCAGACCCGCAGCGAGACCUCAACGACCUUCGAAAUCUGAGAGUUCUGCGAGUUCGAAGAGUUGUUCCGGUGGUUCGGCUGGUUCGGGAAGUUCCGGAUCCUCGGACAGCAGUUCAGAUUCCGAUUCGACGGACAGCGUGGCAAGCCCCCAGACCCAACAAGUCAAGAAGAAGCCAAACAAUAAUUCAGGCGGAGGAAGUGGAACGAAUAGUUUACCGCCAAAAAGACCGUCGGUCGCUGUAGCCGCUGUAAAACCUCAGAAAAAUUCUAAACGUCCGAGUAUCGUAAAGAGCGAGGACGAUGGCGAUGCUUCGGACAGUGAAAAAGACGAUGCCGAAAAUAGUUCGACCGCUACGACCCCCAAGGGCAAAAGAAAACUGCAAGCUCGAAAGAGUAACAAAAUGUUGCAGAUGCAAACGAAGAUCGAAAGCGAUUCGGAAUCCGAUGCAGCGGAAUCGAAGAGAAGCUUGAGCAAAUCGCCAGUGAAACGCAGCAGUGGUAGCGGCUCUCGACAUUUUUCAACGUCAGGACGUACCGGAUCGGGCAGCGGAGGUUCGAGUGCUGCGAGCGUUGGUCGCGGAGGUCAAGGAACGUUUACGCGAGCCCGUAGUGUCAAAGAUCGAGAAUGUCCUCUCGCUGUUUCUUGCGAUUCACGAGGCCACUUGUCUGGGCGAUUUGACACACAUUUCACCCUCGAAUCUUGCCCUUUGUAUCACAACACGACGCCGCAGGCUUGUGUGGAUUUUUUCAAAGAACGAAAGAAACGGGAGGAAGAGCGUAAAAAAAGCAUCAUAAAUUUGGGUAAAAAAUCGCCUAAAGGCAUGCACCAAACGAAUGAGCAACGGAAUUAUCAACUGAAGGUCAAGGAGCUGCGGAGCAAGUGGAAAAAACCGAGCGGAGAUGGUAACGAGAGCGACAGCUGUAGUGAACCACCGGGAAUUGAGAAAGAUCGACAACCUCGUCUUACCGAUCUCACACCUGACUAUGAUCUGAAACUCUUUAUGGAAGCUCAAGCAUUGGCGAGUGAAAAAAUCGAAAAAGAAUUGAAUGAUCUGGAUUAUGAUGCGGAGGGAAGGAACGGUGGUGGAACGAGGUGCGUGGAAAUGGGAAAAUGGAAUAUGGAAGUUUGGUACCAGAGUCCUUAUCCCGAAGAAUUUAGUCGCGCACCAAAACUUUAUUUGUGCGAAUAUUGUCUAAGAUACGCGAAAAGUCGUCAAGUUUUACGUCGUCAUCGUGAGAAAUGCCUGUGGAGGCAUCCACCAGGACACGAAGUUUACAGGAAAGACAAAAUCGGCGUUUGGGAAGUUGACGGAAAGCGUUACAAACAAUAUUGUCAAAACCUUUGUUUGCUGGCGAAAUUUUUUCUCGACCACAAAACACUUUAUUACGAUGUCGAACCAUUUUUAUUCUACGUUAUGACGAUAGGCGAUUCCGAAGGUUGUCAUACCGUUGGAUAUUUCAGCAAGACGAUUGAUGAAAAGUAAGGAACGUCAAUGGGGAGAGGGGGCAAGGGUGCGCAUAGCGCGAGUCCCAAACGGAAAUCUGGGAGUAGAAAAUAGGGAGUGGCUCUCAGCUGGUGCAGUUGCAGCAUCCAAGAAGCUUAGCGGAUAGCACGUAUUCCCCUCCACAUAGAGAAAAGCGAGGACAGUUCGGAGGGUGGGAAGAGAGAAGCUCGUGAAAUUCCGGGAUACUGCGAUUGUACUCGUGGGCUUUCGAGUCUCAUUCAAGUACCACCGCAUUAUCCUAUAUAGCCUGCUGCGGUAUCCUAGGACACUGCUGUGGUGUUACAAUUUGCAACGAGUCGUAAAAUUCUAUUUCCUACAUCGCAUCACCAUUCUUGGCCUAUAAGCUUCAUUUUUACAGAUUCUUCAAGCGUAUUUCACUUUUUUAAACAAUAGCUUCACCGAGCUCUUCUACGAACGGAAGAGAACGAGCAACGUUUCAACGGUACAACGUAAUUCAAACGUAAAUACGAGUAGCAAAAAACUGGAAAAAUAUAAUUGCCGGACUCGAGUUCGUUUCGAGUGGCCAUCGGCGACUCGCCAUAUCAACGAGAUUAUAAAGUUUCUCAUUGUUUCUCGAGUGAAAGAACCAAGAUCGAGCUUUACUCUUGACGAGUUUGUCAUACAUCAAAGGGAGAGCCCGUGGAUGUUUAUUCAACGGUUAUCGGUUGGACUGAUUUCACAUUCAUGAAUUCGCUCACGACGAUUUCAAACGAGGCUCCGGUUAAUCAUUAAGAAGUGGUCUUCCCCUCGCUUCUCACCGAGGAAAAAAAUUCUUUCCUCAAUUACAACGUGUCUUGUAUACUGACCCUGCCGCCUUAUCAACGCCAGGGUUACGGACGUCUUC